CUCACUUUGAAUUUUUCAUUUUCCUUUGUAGCAGUUAUUCCACCUUUUAAAUAUGUAAUUAAUGACUUGACCAAUGCUUGAUCCUUUGUUAGUCGUACACAGUUGUCCAGUGUCUGCUGGGUCCUCAGUGAUAGCCCCAGAUCUUUAGCACGUGCCUGGCAUGUCAUGAGUCCUCCAUAGCUACUAAUUCACUUACCUUACAGAUAUUUUUGAAUAUCUACUAUAUGGCAGGCACUAGGUACUAGGUGCUGGGAAUCUAGUGGUGGACAGAACAGAAGGGCCCUGCAGUCACAGAGCUGGUAGACUGAUUGCUCUGUGUGUGCACGGGAGGGGGCAUGGGAUGGUGGUAUAGGAAAUAAGCAAACCAAAACUAUCACAGGAAAAAUGGAAGAUAACAUGCUACAGAGAUAGAGAAAAUCAUGCGAUUUGAUAGGAGUAACUGGGUGGCUGCCUAGGUUAUGUGGACCCGAGAUGGCAUUUAAGCUGAGAGCUGACCGAAAGGGAGUAGCUGGUGGAGGAAGAUCUGGAGGAAGAGCUUUCUCAUCAGAGGAAACAGCAUGUGCAAGGUCCUCGUGUGGAGAAGCACUCGGGCUGUGUGAAGGGCCAGCGUGGCUGCUGCCUGCUACGAGGGAAGACUGCAGGAGGUGAGCCCACAGGGAGGCAGUGCCCGGACCGCACAGGGCCGUGGAGGCUAGAGAAGGAGUUUGGAUUUCUCAUCACUAUAUAACCCUCGCUUGAGUAAAGUUCUUAUCCAAACUGGCCUCAGCUUCCUCAUCCAUAAAAUGGGCUGACUCUGCCUUGCAUUCCCCUCUGUACAAAGCACAAUGCAGGUAUGAACAUGACUCCUAUCUCCAGAUGAGUUUGAGAUCCGUAAGAGCCUCUAGAAUGGCUGGCCUUUUAGAAAAGUGAUCUUUAGCCGGUUGUGGUGGUGCACACCUGUAAUCUCAGCUGCACAUGCCUGUAAUCCCAGCUACUAAGGAGGUUGAGGCAGGAGAAUCGCUUGAACCCUGGAGGUGGAGGUCGCGAUGAGCCAAGAUCACACCACUGCACUCCAGCCUGGGCGACAGAGUGAGACUCCAUCUCAAAAAAGAAAAAAAGUGAUCAUAUCUUUUUUAAGUACUGAAUUUUCCUCUCCCAAUGCAGUAAAAGGAAUUGUUUCAGUCUUCUGUUUAUUUAUUUGUGUCCAGCAAAUAAUCAAAACUUGCAAGUUUAUACAUAUUUUAAUUUACUCAACAAACCUUUACUUAUUGAUUUAUUGAACAUUUACCAAGGUUGUGCCAUGGCAAGUUCUGGAACUACAAAGGUGAAUUCAACAUAGCCCUGCCCUCGGACUCCUGCCUCUAGUUGGACACUUGAGCCCUGGUUGCUUGUUGACAACACCUGGGGGCUUUAAAAAUACCUGAUACCCAGGCCCACCCUAGACGGGAGUUUAAAACUGCCCCAGGUGAUGCUCGCAUGAAUCAAGGUUGAGACCUUUGGCUAAAACCAGUGGCACAAAGCGACCUGUAUCAAAAUAGAAACAGGUGAGGUGUGAUGGAACUUAGACCCAAAAGACUGGGGGAGUUGCAGGCGAAGAGGUGGGGAGGACAGUGCA
rnacentral:lncRNA from 1 species